UGGCAACAGGGGACAAACACAGUGGCUUUCAGUAUCUCUCUCACUGAAACAGGCAGCCGAGCAAGGGCAGGAGAGACCAGGCAGACACCCAUUUACUACAGAGCUUCUACUUACAGUAAAUAACACAGGGUGGUUCAGCAUCAAAUAAAGAAGAGAUAAUGGUGGCAGGUACAGGAAUGUAAGUACGUAAGAAGAGCCUGCUGGAUCAGCCAAAGGACAAUCUAGGCCAGCAUCCUGUUCUUGCAGUGGCCAGCUAGAUGCCUAGGGGAAACCCACAAGCAAGACCGAAGCACAAGAUCACUUCCCCCUCCUGCUGUUUCCAGAGACUGUCACUCAGAAGCAUUACUGCCUCUGACCAUGGAAGCAGAGCACAGCUAGCAGGGCCAGAAGCCAUUGAUAGCUUUAGCCUCUAUAAAUUUGUCCGAUCCUCUUUUGAAGCCAUCCAAGUUGGUGGCCAUCACUGUCCCCUGGGGGAACGAGUUCUGUAGUAUAACUAUCCUCUAUGUGAAGAAGUACUUUCUUUUAUCUGUCCUGGAUCUUCCAGCAUUCAGCUUCGUUGGAUGUCCACAAGUUCAAGUCUUAUGAGAGAGGGAGAAAAACUUUUCUCUAUCCACUUUCUCCAUGCCAUGCAUAAUUUUUUUUAAAAAACUUUUAUCAUGUCUUAAUAGAAGAUAGAUAGGAAUCUUGGCCGACCUCCAGACGUAACAGAGCAAGGCACACAGACCAUAGUACUUCUUCCUCUGUGGUUUUAUCAAGAUGUUGCUUAGAUUGCAGUGUUUGACUUUGAUCUUAACCUUCUCCCUGUCACAGGCCAUUUGUGUGCAUCCUCCUAGCCCAGUAGGAUAGACAGUGGUUAUGCUAGGAUUAUUAGACAAGGAUAAUAAAGGAUUUACGUAGGAACUGGGUAUAGGGUUGGCACAAGAGUCAAUUAAAUGUGGCCACUUGACUGCCUGUUACAGUGGUACCUCAGGUUACAUACGCUUCAGAUUACAUACGCUUCAGGUUACAGACUCUGCUAACCCAGAAAUAGUACCUCAGGUUAAGAACUUUGCUUCAGGAUGAGAACAGAAACCAUGCUCCGGUGGCGCGGCGGCAGUGGGAGGCCCCAUUAGCUAAAGUGGUGCUUCAGGUUAAGAACAGUUUCAGGUUAAGAACGGACCCCCGGAACGAAUUAAGUACUUAACCUGAGGUACCACUGUAUUUACCCUGGUCAAAUGUUGUCAAAUAUUCCACAAAGUAAAAAAAUGUUACUGUGGUUUGAAAGCUGUUUUGAAAAAUCAUUAUGGUGCUAUUUGUUAGCAAGAACAGAAAUAUCACUUGCCUCCUAACCCUAGAGCAGUCGGGGAGGAAACUUGCAGCACAUCACAGGUUUUCCUGUUGUUCACCACCUGUGGUAACUUCAGACAUCUAACAGGAACAGGGCCAAAAGCAACCUUCAGUGGCAAAGGUGAGUUAUUAAGACCACCCAUAGUUCCAUCUUCUUGCAGUAGGAACCAGAGACUCUCUAUGUGACCUCGCUCUGUUACUUGCUUUAUUUCUGUUUUGCUUUCUGUUUUUUUCUUUUAAAAAUGCUGUUAUUCGAAGCUACCGCGGUGUUUCAGGAUACAGAUUUUUGGUCUAGUUCAGACAUUAUGGCAAGCUAUAUUUAUCAUGACCUGUGACAAGAGGGAGAGAAUUGGAAUGUGGGGGGAAAGGAGAAGGAGGGGGGCACAAAAAUCUGAGGCACUGCCCUGAUGGUCAAACCUAUUUCAUGGUUUGGCCAUGAAACAGGCAUGGAGCCAAUACUUCAUGCACCUCUGCUUUUUAUGAAUUGCCCUCAUUUACACUUUCAUCUAAACCCAUUUCUACCAGGUUCCCUUACUGACUUCUGUGACAACACACACACAAACAAACUUUUCCUACCUCAAAGUUAGAUUUCAUUUGCACAGCCAUCAUAAAUUGCUAGCUAUUCUGGGCAGGAUUGCACAGUUACAUUCACUGAUGAAUAAUCAUAUCCACAAGAGUGGUUUGAUUUGCAAAAUGAAACUGUCUGCUCUUAGACGUUGCAUUUAUAUUUUGACAGUACAAGUCAACACACGGUAAGUUUUGCCAAGUUAAGCAAGGACACAGGUGACAUCAGGGCCUGCUUCAGUCAGACUGUUGCCACUGCCACCCUCUGGGUCAACAUCACUUCUGCCCUGUGGGAAAGAACACCUGAGGCUGUCUCCUGUUUAGUGGGGCUGGUUGUUUUGUGAGUAUGUGGUUUUAAAUGCAAACCUAGCUAACACACACUUUCUAAAACAAUAGAAGAACAGAUACACAGCCAUCAUUUGGAAUUCCUGCUUCUCCAAAUGUUGCAGUGUAGCUCUCCAGCCAAGUAAGAUGUACAAAUAUGCAGAUACUGAGGGAAAGUGAUCAUAAAAAUGCAUAUGUUGGGGGAAAUAAUAUAUAGAAUGCAUUGCAGGAGGGGAAAUUGCUUUGCAAAAAGUAUAGUAGGCAAACUUGCGUAAAAACGAGUCUAGUAAGAAACAUUGUGUUUUUUAUAUUUUAAUCUGAUGUUGCGAACCUCCCUGAGAUCUAUGCACAAAGGGCGGUAUACAAAUUUAAUAAACAUCAGCACUCACAUUAAAAUGCUGAUGAAUUUUCCUGAGGACUUCCUCCCAAAAUACUUAGGUGGAAAUGAGGAGAACUGAACUUAAGAGUAGAAAAAUGAGAAACCAAAAUUGACAGAUCCGCCCAGUCCUAGUUGUUAGACACUUUGUGGACUCUAGCUGAAAAGCAGAGUAGAAAUCUACUAACUAAAUAAAUAACAGCAUGAGGCUGAGGCUCCAGGAAUCUCCCCAUUCAGUUAGUAGCAGAUGCAGCCAAGUAUGCUUGUGUGUAAUAGCAAACAUCUUCAGUUUGUUACCACCAACAAGGCUCUGUAUUGGAAAAUCAUUUGCUUUAGCCACUGACAAUGUCAGUAAUGUGAACGUAGCAUAAGCCAUAACUGUGGACAAACAUAUGCAUAAUUACUCCAAUUAUAAUACGCAUCCCAUAGCCGAAACCUGCUUCUUAAUUAUUAGAUAAAUCUAGGCAAGCUGAAAGUACCUACUAGAGCUAUUAUGAAAUGUAUGAAGCUGUUCAGUCUGCAACUGCAAUGCUGAAUACAAAAAAAGAAAGAAAGAAAGCAAUGCUAAGAAUGAAAUGGUAACUUCAAAACUUUCCAGGUAGACAAAGUGGGGAAAAGGAGGGAUUACAUCUUCAGGACAUUAAUACAAGAAAGGAGCUUCUGGACAAUGACAAUUGCAGAGCUUAAAGUGCAUAUUUCAUGGCAGCCAAUGAGGAUAGCUUCUGGGGUCCUUUCUAAACUUUUAAGAGUCUACAGAGAUUGCUUCUGCAAUCAAUGUGACUAAAUCAAAGCACACUCAUAAGAAAUUCCUCAAUUUAUAGCCAAGAUAAAGCCAAUUGUCUUUGAGAAGCUAAGUGCCAUCUGUACUCAGAAGCCCAGAAGUUGUGAAAGUGAAAAUCUUUACUAUCCGAUGGGAAGAGCUUUGCUGCCAAUCAAUGCAUCUACAGCUUCCAACACAUAUCAAGCUUCAAAGUAAGAGUGCUAAUGAUAACACUGGGAGCAGUUGGUGGGCUGGGGAAGAAGCACUUACCUGACCUCCCAGAAGAGAUAAGGUGGUGGAGAGGGCCAUGGGGUGAGAACACACUAGCAGGAGCACCGGACUGGCUCCACUAGGACAGUUGCACUGACCUCACCACCCUCUUGCCCCUGUUGUAAACAAAAACACACCCCACCCUCUCAGUAAACAGCAGUGACUUACCUGCUACAAUGAGGGGGGAAAGUAUUUUAUCCCCUGCUAAAUUUGCUCAUUUGCCCUCUGACAAAGAAAUGACCAGUCCAUAAUUUUAAUGGUAGGUUUAUUGUAGCUGUGAGAGACAGAAUAACAACAGGGAAACCCCCAGAAACCCGGAAGACAAAAGUCAGAGAUUGAUGUGCAUUAUAAUGAGUGAAAUAAGUAUUUGAUCCCUUUGCAAAAGAUGACUUAGUACUUGGUGGCAAACCCUUGUUGGCAAUUACAGAGGUCAGACGUUUCUUGUAGGUGGCCACCAGGUUUACACACAUCUCAGGAGGUAUUUUGUCCCACUCCUCUUUGCAGAUCCUCUCCAAGUCAGUAAGAUUUUGAGGCUGAUGUAUAGCUACGCAAACCUUCAGCUCCCUCCACAGAUUUUCGAUGGGAUUAAGGUCUGGAGACUGGCUAGGCCACUCCAGGACCUUAAUGUGCUUCUUCGUGAGCCACUCCUUUGUUGCCUUGGCUGUGUGUUUUGGGUCAUUGUCAUGCUGGAAUACCCAUCCUCAACCCUUUUUCAAUGCCCUGGCUGAGGGAAGGAGGUGCUCACCCAAGAUUUGACGAUACAUGGGCCCGUCCAUCGUCCCUUCGAUGCGGUGAAGGUGUCCUGUCCCCUUAGCAGAAAAACACCCCCAAAGCAUAAUGUACCCCUCCAUGUUUGACAGUAGGGAUGGUGUUCUUGGGGUCGUAGGCAGCAUUCCUCCUCCUCUAAACAUGGCAAGUUGAAUUGAUGCCAAAGAGCUCGAUUUUGGUCUCAUCUGACCACAACACUUUCACCACUUCUCCUCUGGGUCAUUCAGAUGUGUAUUGGCAAACUGCAGAUGGGCCUGUACAUGUGCUGUCUUGAGCAAGGGGACCUUGCGAGCUCUGCAAGAUCUCAGUCCUUCAUGGCGUAGUGUGUUACCAACUGUUUUCAUGGUGCCCUGAGAUCACUGACAAGUUCCCCCCGUGUAGUUCUGGGCUGCUUCAUCACCAUCUCCUGAACAUUGCAACUCCACGAGAUGAGAUCUUGCAUGGAGCCCCAGACCGAGGAAGGUUGACAGUUCUUUUGUGUUUCUUCCAUUUGCGAAUUAUUUGUUGUUGUUGUUGUUUAGUCGUUUAGUCGUGUCCAGCUCUUCGUGACCCCAUGGACCAGAGCACGCCGGGCACUCCUGUCUUCCACUGCCUCUCGCAGUUUGGUCAAACUCAUGUUAGUAGCUUCGAUAACACUGUCCAGGCUAAAAUAUUCCACAAGCUUAUAGAGAUAACUGUAAAUUACUCAUGCAAACAACCCAAUCCACAUCCUGCAGAAGGGAACAACAUCAUCAACAACAACAUCAGCAGCAACUACAUCAAAACCUUCUUGUGCAUUUUGGGCAGGAGAGCAGGUGAGAAUUCUUGCUACUAGCAUUCUCUCUCUCUCUUUCUCUAUCUCUCUAAGGUAUGUGGAAUUCUUGAUCUGGAGGAGCAUUCAAUUAUGCAAUCUAUUGCCCACAUUCUCAAGCAGUAUGUCCCCAGGAGAGCCAUAGCACAAGAUUCUUCUGAACUUAUAAAUCAACACUCAGCGUACAGAGAUUCUGAUAUUACUGUGACGUUUUGAUGUGUUUCCAAAUAUACUUCUGGUAUUUUUUUUAUCAAAUGCCUCUCUGGGAUACUCAUUUUAAUGAGAAAAUUUGUGCUGUAUGAAUGAUUAGCAAAAGCUGAACUAGGAAGCAUGCAUAGGAUUUGUGCUAUUUAAAAAAAAUAUGAUUUUUUCCCUUAAGUUUUCCUUUUUCUUAAUGAACAGCAACAGAGAGAAGUUUCAGGACCAUCAAUUUUGAACACUCUGGGUCAGGCCCUGACAUUUGGUAACUGCUGUGGAAAUCUGUGGGAGCCAAAAAAGACUUGCAUUUUCAUUACAGAAAGAGCUUUCAGCCCAGUACCUCAUCCAUUCUAGUGAUGGAGAACAGUUGAUGCUCUGAACUGAAAACAAAGGAAAACACAUAUCCAACUGACCUCUCAGGGUGCCCUGUAACAGUCUUGAAUAAGUCCCGUGUAGUGCUCCUCUGAGCACAGUGAUCUUACAGGUGUACUGAGGGGGUGCAGCAGACACCACCAACCCCAAGAUGGAAAGUUCUAAACUGGUAAGACAGACUCCUCUAGAGGGAGGUUUCAAUGUAGCAGCCAGCCAUAUUGGAUUAGCAUUUGGCCUUGCCCUUGAAGUUUAGCUUCAGUAACUUCCCAUUGGUCAAAUAUGUCUAAGCUGGCCUUUUAAGACUAAAAGAGGAGGCCUGUUGGAUCAGACCAAAUGGACCUGGAUGCCUUUAAAUGGUGAGCAGACCAAUUCAAGGCACACUAAAUUACCAUUAGUAAUGGCUACUAAUCUUAAUGGCUGUAUGCUACUACCUCCAGUAUGCCUCUGAACAGCACUUGGUAGGGAAGAACAGUGGGGAAUGGGUUCUGUGCUGGUCCUUCUUUUGGGCUUACUAUACCCUCUGCUUGGCCAUUUUGGGAAGCCAGGUGCUGAACCAAAUAGUUAUUUGCAUAUACUUUAUGGCUUGCCUUGUGAUGUAAUUUUGAUAUUACAGCUUGUUUGUAAAAUCAUUUAUGAGCAAAAUUCCAAUAAUCUGUUUUUCCUGGGAUGCCAUAAAGGACCACAUUAUAGAAAGGACAGUUUUCCUUGGGAAACAUCCCCAAGCCAAUAAGCUCAAAGGCGAGUUAUGCUGAGAAAGCUUCAUCUACAGCACGACAAUACUUUAGUUUCAUCAUCACUAUAACCAGUGCUUUUUUUCUUCAUGGUGAGUGCUGGCACCUUUUUUACUAUAUAUAUAUAUAAAGCACUGCCUAUAACCUCUAAUUUACACUAGGCUCCGCUACUAAUAUACAUAUUUUGGUGUGCAAUUUGGACUGUCUACAAUACAGUGGUGCCUCAGGUUAUUAUUUUUUAAAAAAUAAUUUUUAUUGAAUGAUUUUAUGUUACAAAAAACAAUACAGCCAUACUACCACUAAAUAUAAUUAAGAAAUAAAAAUUACAUACAUC
rnacentral:lncRNA from 1 species